UAAUACGAAGGGGGCUAGCGUUGCUCGGAAUGACUGGGCGUAAAGGGCGCGUAGGCGGCUUGUUUAGUCAGGCGUGAAAUUCCUGGGCUUAACCUGGGGGCUGCGCUUGAUACAGGCAGGCUUGAGUGCGGAAGAGGGUCGUGGAAUUCCCAGUGUAGAGGUGAAAUUCGUAGAUAUUGGGAAGAACACCGGUGGCGAAGGCGGCGACCUGGUCCGUGACUGACGCUGAGGCGCGAAAGCGUGGGGAGCAAACAGGAUUAGAUACCCUGGUAGUCCACGCUGUAAACGAUGUGUGCUGGAUGUUGGGCGGCCUAGCCGUUCAGUGUCGUAGCUAACGCGGUAAGCACACCGCCUGGGGAGUACGGCCGCAAGGUUG
rnacentral:rRNA from 1 species